UCUCCCUACGGGAGGCAGCAGUAGGGAAUUUUCGUCAAUGGGCGCAAGCCUGAACGAGCGAUGCCGCGUGAGUGAAGAAGGCUUUCGGGUUGUAAACUUCUUUUAUUCGGGACGAAGAAAGUGACGGUACCGAAUGAAUAAGCCACGGCUAACUACGUGCCAGCAGCCGCGGUAAUACGUAGGUGGCAAGCGUUAUCCGGAUUUAUUGGGUGUAAAGGGCGUGUAGGCGGGAAUGCAAGUCAGAUGUGAAAACUCAGGGCUCAACCCUGAGCCUGCAUUUGAAACUGUAUUUCUUGAGUGCUGGG
rnacentral:rRNA from 1 species